rnacentral:misc_RNA from 1 species
AAGUCGUAACAAGGUUUCCGUAGGUGAACCUGCGGAAGGAUCAUUAACACGUAUCCAAACGUUAAACCCCCCCCGUGAACCUUCAUCGUGCUCUAGUGGGCCACUGAUAAACACAGCAAUUCCUGGUAAAUCAUUGUCUGAACAAGCCUUUGAGUCAGGAACCUCUGUGCAGUGCGAGCUACACCCACUAUAGAAGCGCUAGUUCCAUCGGCAUUGUUUCCCCAAGCAGCCAGUGCGUGAAAGUGGCAACUGACUGUGCAAGGAUAACGCUUAACGAUUUUGCAGCCGCAUCCUUCUGCCGAUUUCACAUACAAAGCUCCAUUUUCAAUUAUGGAUGGGGUAAAACCGAACAACUGUUAACAAUGGAUAUCUUGGUUCUC